rnacentral:misc_RNA from 1 species
UUGCAAUCUCAAUCGCUAUUCCGUACUUCGCUCAUGGCUUGAUACUUGGCUUCUUUACAUGCACUUUGACCCAUUGUCUUUCUGGAAGGAAAGAGAAAGAGCAAUCCCACCUCAAGACUUGGCUUCGCCAUCGAAUUACUAUUGCCUACCACCUUAGAUUCGCCAAGCUCCUGUCUGGAACAGAAGCCUUUUGCAUGUACUUGCGCCUUCUUGGUGCUAAGGUUGGGAAACAUUGUUCUAUCAGAGCCAUCAACCCUGUUUCAGACCCUGAACUGAUUACAAUUGGUUCUGGUGUCCAUCUUGGUGACUUUAGUAGGAUGAUUGCCGG